rnacentral:lncRNA from 1 species
AUGGUAAGUUGGAGAUGCCUGAGGAAGGAAUGCCAAACCCGAAGAUAUGCACAUAUAGGAUGAUUAAAAUACCAUAGAAAGUAUGCAACUUUUAUUGUUUAGAAAAACUUCAUAGUGAAAUUAAUUUUUCAUGAUGCAACAAGUAGUCAAGUAAACAAACUACAAUCAAUUUUAGGAAAAACCAAAUAUUAAAAAUCAAGUUUUAAUAGACAAGUACUCUGGUAAACUCACAUUAGUUGAGUAGACACUACCACUUCACUUGGAAUUAGAUUCUUCUUACACAUCUUCACCUAUAAUACACAUAUAAAUACUUAUUAACUGAUAUUGCCAUAUUUAUACAUAUUUCUAGGCAACAUUUAAGUGCAUUUUUAUAUAUAUUUUGGUCAUUUGCAUAGAAUAAUGAUACUUGUAAUGUAAAAUUAUAUUUUGCAGCCAAAAAGAAGGCAUUUUGAAGAAAGGGACUAAAAGCGUUAAAGGAUGGAACUUUGGAGGUUGAAGGCUUGAAAGACGAGAAAAACACCUAAAAAGACGUACUCACGACGUGAACAGUUGAUGGUUCAGGACGUGAGUAUAGAAAGAUAGAGGAUAAGCAUUCGGGGAGAGGAAUCCUUGGCGAUUACGAUAACUUCGAGUUCACGACAUGAGAUUUGAAUUCUCACGACGUGAAUAGUGAUUUUGGAGAAUAUAUAUAUAUCCUUCUCCAUUACGAUUGAGAAGACUUUUGGCUGGCCGAGGAGGAUACCUGGAGAUGAAAUUCAGAGGAAAAGAAGCCCUGGAAGUUGGUUUUCAGCUUUACAUCUUAUUUUUUUUUUGUUUUUACAGGAGUUCAUGACCAGAGGCUCUAACACCCCUUUGGUGAUACUGCUUGAAGAUCCCAAGUCUGCAAUUCACAAGAAGAGGACGCCCUUAAAAGAAUUCACAUCAGUGUUCUCAAAGAAAUCGGGGAAGAAAACGGGGGAUUCAAGUUUAUCCUCAAAGAACAAGAUCAAGCUUGAACACUUGCAUCAAAUACCCGUCCAAACCGAGUCCGAAUACGAUACCGAGCCUGAAUUUGAAGAACAUACGAGCGAACCCGAGAACGAGCCAAGGAAUGAGAUGGAAAAUAUUGAAGAAAUGUCCAUGGGAGCUUACAUAAAGAGAAUUCGAGAUGAUGUUGGUCCAGGCUUAGUACAACCUGCAAUCCCUGCCACUGCCACAUUUGAGCUGAAGGGACAUAUCCUUUCCGCACUAAAGGAUAUCCCAUUCUAUGGAAAGGAUUAUGAGGAUGCGUUCAAACACUUAGACGAAGUGAAUGAAAUUGCUGAUUACUUCAAUUCCCAAAUGUUAACAGAGAUACCGUCUUGCUAAGGAUGCUUCCCGUUACCUUUAAAGGAGCUGCAAAGGAUUGGUUAAAAGCACUCCCACCCGGUACAGUAACUACUUGGGCUCAAAUAUGUGAGCAGUUUCUAGACCAAUUCUGUCUACCAUCCAAGAUUGCUAAACUUAAAAAGGCAAUAGCCAAUUUUGAGCAAAACCCGAGAGAGUCACUUUACGAAGCUUGGGAAAGUUACAAAGGGUUGUUAAGGAAUUGUCCUCAACAUGACCUUAACAUUCAACAACAGGUGUCCAUAUUUUAUGACGGGGUAAAUGUGAUGACAAGACAACUCCUUGAUUCUCAAGGACCACUUACAAAGAAAAAUACGGGCAAAGUCAAGGAAUUAAUUGAAGAAUUCGCAAAACACUCUUGCGAAUAUCAUAAUCCAAGGAAUGAAGGCAUUAAAGGAGUUGGGGGUGCACAACCUGAAGAGAUGGCUGCGGUGAUGGCAAUGCUUAACACUAUGGAGAGGAGAUUGACACAAAUGGACCAAUCAAUUCAUGCAAUUAGAGUUGGUUGCGAGAGAUGUAGUGGUCCACAUUUGACAAAAGAUUGCUACUUGGACGAAUAUGGAAACAAGAAAGCCCAAGUUUACUAUUCGAGUGGGGACAAGUACGAUGAAGAUUGGAGGAAACCAAAGAAAGAGUGGCUGCCCUAUGAUGAAUACAAGAAGCAAAAGGAAGAAAAAUAUAGACAAACUGGCAAAGGCUUCUGCCAAAAAGAGCAACCACCAACUGAGAAGAAACCCGAUCUAGAGACCAUGUUAGUUAAGUUUAUGGAAGCUUCAGAAAAGAGACACAAGGCUGCUAAUUCUGCUAUUGAUGAAUAAAGAAAUUUGAUGAAGAAUCAUCACGCAUUGAUGAUAGAAUAGCAAGCUUUGAUAAAAAAAUCAACAAGCCUCCAUCAGUAAUCUUGAAGUGCAACGUGGUCAACUAACCACUUUGGUUUAUGAAAAGAUAUCCCCAAAAAAUCCUGAAAAAAAGACCCAAUCUCACGUAAUAUCCAUAGAUACUGAAGAAGAGUCCAUCUCUUAGUUCCUAGAAGCAUUAGAAGUAGAGACACAACAUCCCGAUCCAAAGCCAAAGAAGCCAAGACUCGAAAAUGAAGAAACUGCUGGAACACCGAGUUCACGAAGUGAGCCCGCUAUGCUCACAUCGUGGGCUCUGUCUGAACAGAAAAAUUUCGUCCCUGUUUCAGUUUAUCAACCACCUUUGCCAUUUCCUUCCCGAGCUGCCCUUAGUCCACUAGAGAGAGAGCAUAUAGAUUUUAUUAAGCACGUGAAGGGUAUCCCGAUUAAUACUCCCUUUGUCGAGUCGUUAUCAAAAAUUCCCGAAUAUGAAAUUUUUUUACAAGACUUGAUAGACACUCAUCAGCAACUACAGAAGAAUUCUAAAGUUAUUUUAAGUGAGCAAAGUUCAAGGGCUGUAUUGGGAGACAUACCUAAGAAGAUGGGGGAUCCUGGACGCCUCACUCUUCCAUGUGAGUUUGGGAACAACACGAAGUUUUAUGCUUUAGCCGAUUCUGGGGAUAUCAUAAAUUUGAUGCCUUAUUCAUUUCAUCAGAAGUUGGGUAUUCAGAAGUUGAAGGCUACAAGAAUGACUAUUCACAUGGCGAACCGUUCAGUGACACAACCUAGGGGAUUUUUGGAAGAUAUUUUAGUAAAAAUUAUGAAAUUCAUUUUUCCAAUAGACUUUGUGGUAUUGGAUAUGAAAGAAGAUCCCGGUGUACCGAUUAUUCUUGAUCGCCCGCUACUUAACACCGUUGGAGCCCUUGUUGAUAUACGCGAGUCUAAGCUCACCUUGAGGGUUGGAAAUGAAAAAGAAAUUUUUGGGAUAGAAAAUGGCUUUCAAGGGGAUCAUGCGCAAGAAGAGGUGUUCAACGUUGAUGAAAACAAUGACCUUGAAGAAUUAGAGAAGCUCAUAGAAGAGGAGAUCAAGACAAUUCAUCAAGUCAAAAGAACAAAACCAAGAGCAUCUGUUCCAUAUUUAGUUGAAGUCAUUGCCUACACGAGUCCAAUUUCUUGGGUGAGAAAGGAAGAUGAUGAGAUUACAAGUGAUGAAGAGGAGGUUACUUCACAAGUAACAACUCCAGUGGUGAAAGAAGAGAAAAAUGCUAUGUAGUGCAAGGAAGAAACUAAAGGGACCAAACGCAAGCUUUAUGAAGAAGGGGUAAAGGCUAUAAAGGAGAAUUCGAAGAAGGCGUACAAAAGACCAGUUCAAGCUUACAAGAGGCUUUUCAAGGAACAAAAGAUCCUAGUGGUGGAUCCUUCAGAGGACUCAACAUAGGAGGCACAGAGUCCAGCUCAUGACUCCAAGAAAAAGAAGCGCUUGUUGGGAGGCAACCCGAGUUUGGUUUGCAAUUUUUUUCUUUUGUUUUUAGUUUUUUCAUUUUAGUCUUAGAAACAUAAAUCAUAUCAUCAAAUUCGCUUUAUUCACUAAGUGCGGAGUCCCUAAAAAUGAAAAGGUGGUAAUUAAGAAUUUAGUUAAUAGACAUACUUGUCUUAAUAAUAAAAAUUUCUGAAUAAGCCAGAUAAUAUAAAAAUGAUGCAUAUUAGCCCAUUUUCUAUUGAACUAAUUGGCCCAAGACUAAUCUAUUAUUGAUAAGGAAUCCACGGCCCAACAUUAAGCCUAGCCAGGACUCACAACAUGAAUCCUUAAGGAUUCACGAAGUAAGUUUUGAAAAACAUGGGACCACAGAUUGUGGGGAUAAGAAUCAGUUUAGCCCUCUUUUCUUUAUUCCCCACAAAGUGAAACACAAGAUCUAGUCCCCCUUGCUCCAAUUUUGGCCGACAAUAUUCAAUUUUCGUUUUUGCUUACCUCAUACUACAAUCUAAGGUAAUGAUUCUUAAUUGUUAAGUUUAAUUUUUCUUUAAUAGUUGAACUUAGGGUUAGGGUUUGUUAGUUAGAGGAAAUGUCAAAUUUACUUCUUAAAAUUUUCGUGAUAGCCUUGGAAUGUUUAUGCUUUGUGCUUGGAGGUGGUAUAAGAGUAAACCCCAUUAAUGCUAUGACCUGAUUUUUCCCCUGAUUUUAGCAAUUCUGCUUGUUGAUGUUGCGCAUUCACGAUGUGAAUCCUAAAGGAUUCACGACGUGAAUACUGACAAUGGACAAUUUCAGUUCUGUUAAUUUCUAAAUUUGUGGGUUGUUUCUUUUUGGUGUGUUUUUUUUUUUUUUUUUUUUUUUUUUUUUUUUUUUUUGCAGAAAUGGGUCCUAGAAGGGAGGUACCCCUUGGAGUUUCGGGUUUACACCCGUUUUAUAAUUUUCCCACGACAAUGUCUCGGGACAUCUUUACUCGAUGGAACAACAGAUUAGGGUGGCUCUACAACCGCGAGAUUGCUGUUGCUCCUACAAUUAAUUGGACGUGGUUAAGGGAAGUCGGUCUCGUGGACCGGCUAUCCCCAUUUUUGACGAAAAUGUUUAUUGGAAACGGUUAUUCAUUCACUUGUUCUGGAUGGCGUAACCUGUUUCGGAUCCAAGAGCGCAUAUAUAAGGAAUAUUGUGUUGAGUUCUUCUCAACAGUAGCAUUCUAGGAGACUGUUCAAGACCCACAUUGGUCGCAAGCUUUGGUGUUCCGGUUGGGGGGUUAGUACCGGGAGUGCAGCCUCGUUGAAUUUGCUUGGAGAGUUGGACUAUACGAUCGACAAGAGGAAAUGACUCCCGAAUUUGGUAUGUUUUUGAGCGAGGCAGCUAGAGGAUACACGGAGGGUGUCACUGGAUAUGUUUUCUGGCAAAAUAUUGUGUCUGGAUGUUUAAUUCUGGAGUGUCUCCCGAGAGCAGUAUUCGGUCCCCUAUCCAUCGCUUACUCCACCGUUUCAUCACAUUCUCCAUCAAUCAUAGGAGGCAUGGAGAUAAAGUAACAAAACAAAACUUGUUCUUCUUAUGGUGUAUCUUGCAGCCCGGAGUGUGUUCCAAUAUUUCUUAUUUUCUGGCACGUUUUCUAGCCGGGUCUGCAGCUAGUUCUGGCCCUGGGAGCCCCAUUUGUGGAGGGCAAUUUAUUACGUGUUUGGCCCGCUCGUAUCAUUUGGUUGUUCCGGAUAUUACUCGUUCCAUGACUUGUGUGGAUGAGCAUGAUUUUGGCAUGGGGUAUUUGGAGACCAUGCGGGUUGUCAGGAACUUUGGGUCGCAUUGGGAAAUAGUACCUUCCGAUGAUGAGGGUAAUGAGGGUGAUGCCCAGCCUGAGACACAACCAGAACAACAAGCACAGGCACGUCCGAGACGCAAGAACAUGAGAGGAAGAGGAGAAAGGGGGAGACCAAUUCAUCCACCCGCACCUAUGGUAGGAUCCCAAAUUGGGGACGAUAUGGGUGGGUAUUUUGACCAGUUAUGCUUGAGCAUCAACUGGAUUGGGGGUACUAUGGAAAACAUGGUUCAACAUCUCCAUAUGGAGCAGCCGCCUCACCUCGGGUAUCAUUACUCAAUUUGCCCGAGGUGCACAGAGUAUCGAGGACAUGGAGGCGACGGAGCGGGCACUAGCGGGGUGAACGAGGAUGAUGAUGAUGAUUGAUCAUUUAUUUUAGUUUUAUCUUGUUUUUAUUUUUAUUCGUUUGGGAUUGUAAAACUAUUUAGAUAUUAUGUUACUUUUUCUCUUCUCUUUUUUGUUUUUUAUUUUUUCAGAAUUACUAGGAGCGCAUAUAAAUGAUGUCAAGAUACGAGUGCAUAUGUGUUUAGCCGGGAGUGUUUACAGUCGAGAGUCGAGACCCGUAAUUUAAUUUAAGUGUGGCGUGAGUCAAGUGGGAAGGAAGUUGGAGAGAAGAGUUGAAAUUAAUAAGGUUAGAAGAGUCUUAAUCCAUUAAGACAUGGGAAUAAAUAUAAGAAGUGAGAAGAAAGGUUGGAGGAAAUACAUUUCUGAGAUUCCUGUUUUCACGUCAUGACUCUUUUGGUGUUCAUGUUGUGAGUCAGUAUAUGGUGACUUUCGAGAACCCGCUUCAAUUUGAAUUCACGACAUGAACAUUUACAUACUCACGUCGUGACUUUGUACUUUUCACAAAAAAAUCAUAUUUUUAAAUAUUCCUUAUGUGGUUCACCACCAUUCUUUUUGGGAAUAUUAUGAAGAUAAUAAUGGCUCAUUUUCUCUACCAUACAAUGUGGUGUUUGCUUUCCCACAUUGUUCUGUUCCCUUGUGCACAUUUUUCUGCACCGCAUUUGUUGAAGAUUGAAGACCCGAUUCCAUAUUUUGCCGGUACAUUACUUAUCUCGCGUAGUCAAGAUCCAAGUUUCUAUUUCUCAAAGUCUGUAUUCAAGAUGCAAAUUCCAUCUACACUUUUGGAGAUGAUCACGCCACUAUCCCAGGGGAGUUUGUUCCUUUUUCUCCCUUCUCUUAAUUUUUCUAAUAAUUUAAGCAUACAAUGAGGGCAUUGUAUGAAAUAAGUGUGGGGUAGGGGGUAGAAAAAGUAAAUUGCUAUAUAAUAUGGUAAAUUGUGAACUGUAGUUGCUAGUGUUAUAUGGGAUGAUCUGAUAAGAACUCAAAUGUUUAGUUUAGCCAAUACAAGUUAUAGUGCAUUUGUCGCCUUCCUUAUUUUAGUGAAAUCAUGGAACAAAAACACGACCUCGCUUAGUUUGAAGGAUGAAAUAUGUUUAGCAUCAUGUACCAGAAAUGUAUCCAGGAAAAUUAUUAUCAUUAACCAAUAAAGGUUGAAGUUGAGCGCCCCUGCUUAAGCAUGUAGGGUUUUGAGUGAAAAAAAAAGUGAGUUACAUGUUAAAAAGAAAAAAAAAAAAGAGAGAAUUACAAGAAACGUUUGAAAAAUUUUUGGAGCAUCAAAGUCAAAGUAUGAACAACAAAAAUCAAAAUUCCAAAGAAAUUCAAAAUUUGAAAAUACCCAAAAAUCGAAGAUCAAAUAUCAAAGAAGUGAAGAAUUCCAAAAGAGCUACAUAGUGGUAUCAUAAAUUGUAAUUUUCUAGAUUAUGUAUGCUUGGGUUGCUCAACCAAAAAUACCUUGAGGUUAGGAGGUUUUGUGCGGAUGGAUUCGGAGGGAUGCAUAAAAUGAGCAUUGUUCGGAAGAAGUGGGCGAGUGUUUAUGAAGAUUGUGAGUAUUUAAAGUAUGGGGGGUACUUUAGGAAAAAAGACCCAAUCUCAUGUAAUAUCCAUAGAUACUGAAGAAGAGUCCAUCUCUGAGUUCCUAGAAGCAUUAGAAGUAGAGUCACAACAUCCCGAUCCAAAGCCAAAGAAGCCAAGACUCGAAAAUGAAGAAACUACUGGAACACCGAGUUCACGAAGUGAGCCCGCUAUGCUCACAUCGUGGGCUCUGUCUGAACAAAAAAAUUUCGUCCCUGUUUCAGUUUAUCAACCACCUUUGUCAUUUCCUUCCCGAGCUGCCCUUAGUCCAAUAGAAAGAGAGCAUAUAGAUUUUAUUAAGCACGUGAAGGGUAUCCCGAUUAAUACUCCCUUUGUCGAGUCGUUAUCAAAAAUUCCCGAAUAUGAAAUUUUUUUACAAGACUUGAUAGACACUCAUCAGCAACUACAGAAGAAUUCUAAAGUUAUUUUAAGUGAGCAAAGUUCAAGGGCUGUAUUGGGAGACAUACCUAAGAAGAUGGGGGAUCCUGGACGCCUCACUCUUCCAUGUGAGUUUGGGAACAACACAAAGUUUUAUGCUUUAGCCGAUUCUGGGGAUAUCAUAAAUUUGAUGCCUUAUUCAUUUCAUCAGAAGUUGGGUAUUCAGAAGUUGAAGGCUACAAGAAUGACUAUUCACAUGGCGAACCGUUCAGUGACACAACCUAGGGGAUUUUUGGAAGAUAUUUUAGUAAAAAUUAUGAAAUUCAUUUUUCCAAUACACUUUGUGGUAUUGGAUAUGAAAGAAGAUCCCGAUGUACCGAUUAUUCUUGGUCGCCCGCUACUUAACACUGUUGGAGCCCUUGUUGAUAUACGCGAGUCUAAGCUCACCUUGAGGGUUGGAUAUUGCCAUAUUUAUACAUAUUUUUAGGUAAUAUUUAAGUGCAUUUUUAUAUAUAUUUUGGUCAUUUGCAUAGAAUAAUGAUACUUAUAAGGUUAAAUUAUAUUGUGCAGCAAAAAAGAAGGCAUUUUGAAGAAAGGGACUAAAAGCGUUAAAGGAUGGAACUUUGGAGGUUGAAGGCUUCAAAGACGAGAAAAAAACCUAAAAAGACAUACUCACGACGUGAACAGUUGAUGGUUCACGACGUGAGUAUAGAAAGAUAGAGGAUAAGCAUUCGGGGAGAGGAAUCCUUGGCGAUUACGUUAACUUCGAUUUCACGACGUGAGAUUUGAAUUCUCACAACGUGAAUAGUGAUUUUGGAGAAUAUAUAUAUAUAUCCUUCUCCAUUACGAUUGAGAAGACUUUUUGUUGGCCGAGGAGGAUACCUGGAGACGAAAUUCAGAGGAAAAGAA